rnacentral:tRNA from 1 species
UGCGCUGUAGUUCAACGGAUUAGAACACUUGUCUACGAAGCAUGAGAUGAAGGUUCGAUUCCUUCCAGCGCAA